rnacentral:SRP_RNA from 1 species
CGCCGGUCUCCCCGCAACGCUAAAUUGUGAAUCCCGCCAGGCCCGGAAGGGAGCAACGGUAACAAUCGAUUCGGGUGCCGGGGUGCGGCUGGUGCGG